UACAGAGGUCCCGAGCGUUGUUCGGAUUCACUGGGCGUAAAGGGUGCGUAGGUGGCGAGGUAAGUCGGAUGUGAAAGCUCGGAGCUCAACUCCGAAAUGGCAUUGGAAACUACCUUGCUCGAGGGUUGGAGGGGGGACUGGAAUACUUGGUGUAGCAGUGAAAUGCGUAGAUAUCUGGAGGAACACCAAUAGCGAAGGCAGCUCGCUGGGACGGUACUGACGCUGAGACGCGAAAGCGUGGGGAGCAAACAGG
rnacentral:rRNA from 1 species